AGUAGUAUAAGGUGGUGUGUAUGUAAAUCUCCCUUAAGUGGCCCUACGAUCCGCCGAGCUUGUUAUCGCCGGCGCCACGAUCUUCGUACUUCUUCGCUCAGGCGAAGUAUGAUUAUUCUCCGCCGUCGCGGCCGUUGCGUACGUCUCGAACAGGAAUAGCCAGUUGUGAUCUACUUCCAUGCGGGGUUUGUUAGUAACAUAAAAGAAGCGCGGAGAAGGCGAAAAGUUGAGAGUUAUGGCUACGGAAUCAGACGGCGAAGAAGAUACUACCGGAAAGCUGAGCGGGAGCCAGAACUUGGCAGUUGAUGAUGAUUCGAGGGAGAUGGCAAAGAAAGCGGCUUGGUCUGUCAGCUCCUGCAAGCCUGGUAACGGUGUUCCCUCUCUCCGCGAUGACAACCUCGAGACCUAUUGGCAAUCAGAUGGAGCGCAGCCCCAUUUGGUGAAUAUUCAGUUUCAGAAGAAGGUCAAGCUGCAUUUAUUGGUACUCUAUGUUGAUUACAAGCUUGAUGAGAGCUAUACCCCAAGCAAAAUCUCUAUACGGGCAGGUGAUGGCUUUCACAAUAUGAAAGAGAUUAAAACCGUAGAGCUUGUGAAGCCUGUUGGUUGGGUUCAUAUAUCCCUAUCAGGAACAGAUCCCCGUGAUACGUUUAUCCACACCUUCAUGCUCCAAAUUGCCGUUCUAUCCAAUCACUUGAAUGGGAGAGAUACCCACAUACGACAGAUCAAAAUAUAUGGUCCUCGACCGAAUCCUGUUCCUAAUCAGCCAUUUCAUUUUACUUCGAAGGAGUUCAUUACUUAUUCAACCAUCAGGUGAGGAGCAUUCAUAAGCAGUUGCACUCCUAAAGUGAAAACAAGAUUGUUGGUUCACAAAGACAUCAGUUUGUGGUAAUGCAAUCUGUAGAAUCUACUGUCUCCCUAAAUGCAAAAGGCUGGUCUUGUGAAACUUCCUUUUAAAGAUGAAUGGUGGAUUUGCAGGAGAUUCUGAUGAGAUGGAUAGUAGAGACAGCACUCCAACUUGUGAGGAAGGACCGCGAGGCGGAGAAGGACAUGAAUACAUAUGGAGAUUGAAAGGAAGGAAUCUAUGGUCAUAGAUUGAGGAGAUAAUGAUUCUACAUAUCAAUAGGAAUCUUUGUCUAAAGGACCACUAGCUUGUAACAGAGUAUCUGGUGCAGUUUCUUGUGCCAUUUCCCUGUCUAAGAAGCAAGUUGGUAUGUGAAGGCCAAUUCAUUCCAUGGAUCCUAAACCACCACGUAACGAGUUAAGUACUUUAGUUUAUUGAAUCUGUAUGUCUCGCGAAGAUUCCCUGUAAGAGCCCAAACUAUUAACUAUCGAGAUAUUGUUCGCUUUGAUCUAAGA